UUCUCUUUGACCCUUAUCUUCUUUUAACAGAACAUUUAACUCUCCUUCAACUCUGUAUCUCUCUUGUAAUUCUCUUUUCCACUCUCUUACACUUCUCUCUCGCUACAUAAAUCCUCACUUCUUCAAUACAAUUCUUCUAAGUAAUAUCACGCACUUGGCUUCUUCAGCCCUGGGAAUCGAAGCUUAAAAUUUAGUGGAUUUGUGCUUUUAUUUGAGUUUUGGAUCAUUGGAGCUAGGGGUUAGUAGACUUCUAUGUUUAGUUUGACUUUGGUAUCAGUUUUGUGCUUCGAAUUCAGGAAUAAUGAUGGGAACACUGCAGAAGACUUGUUGCCGAAAGACUACAAAAAUAAACAACAAGCAGCUGAGAAAGCAGGGAAAGAAAUGAAUCAAGGCUUAAUGGUUGUGGCAGCAUUGAUUACCACUGUGAGUUUUGUUGUUGUUUUCAGUCUUCCUGAAGGAUUUGAUCAAAAUAAAGGGAAUACCCUGUUUUUUUUAACAGAGAAGGUCAUCGUCAUGAUUUAAAUUUGUUUCUAAGAAUUUUGGGAAUGCCUUAGAAGUACAAGAACCUGUUGAAGAAGAGCAACAUGGCAAACCAAUAACCUCCGAAUUUGUAUCUACGCACUCUGAGAUUUCAGAAAGAGAAGCAACUACAGAUUGGUCAAGUUCAGAGUAUAACACACAUUCUGUUGGAAAUUUAGACACUGUAUUAAUUUGUGAGAAAUACCGGUUAAGUCAAACCGCGUAAGUAGAAGAAAGAAAAUCUUGUUUACAAAUAUCUAUUGUAGUUAGUUUAUGUAGAUUUAUACUGGUUUGCAUAGGUUUUAGUAUAAUGAUGCUUGGCUUUCGGGUUGUGUAGUGAUAUUGUUUGGAUUAUGAUUUAGCUAGUGGGUAUGUAUGUUUGGAGUGAUUUAUGUUAUUGAUUGUGUAAUAUACUGAUAAAUUGGAAUAAAUGGUUUAUUAUAUUUUUAGAA